UGCCCAGCAACUCCUAUCCCUACCUCCACGUGGUACUGGCCGGGGUACGAGCAACCUUAGGAAAGAUCGGG
rnacentral:ribozyme from 1 species